rnacentral:rRNA from 1 species
GACGAACGCUGGCGGCGUGCCUAAUACAUGCAAGUAGAACGCUGAAGAGAGGAGCUUGCUCUUCUUGGAUGAGUUGCGAACGGGUGAGUAACGCGUAGGUAACCUGCCUUGUAGCGGGGGAUAACUAUUGGAAACGAUAGCUAAUACCGCAUAACAAUGGAUGACCCAUGUCAUUUAUUUGAAAGGGGCAAAUGCUCCACUACAAGAUGGACCUGCGUUGUAUUAGCUAGUAGGUGAGGUAACGGCUCACCUAGGCGACGAUACAUAGCCGACCUGAGAGGGUGAUCGGCCACACUGGGACUGAGACACGGCCCAGACUCCUACGGGAGGCAGCAGUAGGGAAUCUUCGGCAAUGGGGGCAACCCUGACCGAGCAACGCCGCGUGAGUGAAGAAGGUUUUCGGAUCGUAAAGCUCUGUUGUAAGUCAAGAACGAGUGUGAGAGUGGAAAGUUCACACUGUGACGGUAGCUUACCAGAAAGGGACGGCUAACUACGUGCCAGCAGCCGCGGUAAUACGUAGGUCCCGAGCGUUGUCCGGAUUUAUUGGGCGUAAAGCGAGCGCAGGCGGUUUGAUAAGUCUGAAGUUAAAGGCUGUGGCUCAACCAUAGUUCGCUUUGGAAACUGUCAAACUUGAGUGCAGAAGGGGAGAGUGGAGUUCCACGUGUAGCGGUGAAAUGCGUAGAUAUAUGGAGGAACACCGGUGGCGAAAGCGGCUCUCUGGUCUGUAACUGACGCUGAGGCUCGAAAGCGUGGGGAGCGAACAGGAUUAGAUACCCUGGUAGUCCACGCCGUAAACGAUGAGUGCUAGGUGUUGGAUCCUUUCCGGGAUUCAGUGCCGCAGCUAACGCAUUAAGCACUCCGCCUGGGGAGUACGACCGCAAGGUUGAAACUCAAAGGAAUUGACGGGGGCCCGCACAAGCGGUGGAGCAUGUGGUUUAAUUCGAAGCAACGCGAAGAACCUUACCAGGUCUUGACAUCCCGAUGCUAUUUCUAGAGAUAGAAAGUUACUUCGGUACAUCGGUGACAGGUGGUGCAUGGUUGUCGUCAGCUCGUGUCGUGAGAUGUUGGGUUAAGUCCCGCAACGAGCGCAACCCCUAUUGUUAGUUGCCAUCAUUCAGUUGGGCACUCUAGCGAGACUGCCGGUAAUAAACCGGAGGAAGGUGGGGAUGACGUCAAAUCAUCAUGCCCCUUAUGACCUGGGCUACACACGUGCUACAAUGGUUGGUACAACGAGUUGCGAGUCGGUGACGGCAAGCUAAUCUCUUAAAGCCAAUCUCAGUUCGGAUUGUAGGCUGCAACUCGCCUACAUGAAGUCGGAAUCGCUAGUAAUCGCGGAUCAGCACGCCGCGGUGAAUACGUUCCCGGGCCU